AAUUUGGACGGACCCCUAAACCCAAAAUACCAACGGCUCCACCAUGAGAACAAAUAAAAGCACCCGUUUUAAAGCCAUUCUCCAUCUCUUGCCUCGCCAAUUUAAUUUCCUCUGUCCACACAAGUACUAAUAGGUCACUUUUGAGCUGUUCUCUGCCUUGAAUAUUCAAAUUGCAUAUUGUAUAUUCCAUUUUUCUACGUACACUUGUAUGUAUUUCAAUCUUCACAAUAUACUACUAGUAAGUGAAUGUAUGAUAUCAAGCAGUAAAGAAAGAGCGAAUGCAAUAUAUAUUUUAUUCAAGGUUUGAUGUUAGGUACAUGGUAGUCUAAUAUUAUUCUUUUUUUUUUUGUAAAAUGUUAAUAUUAUACCAUUUUUGAUUUUUCACAUUGUUGUUUCCAACUUAUUACACUAGACAGAAAUAAAAACAGCAGAAAAGAAACGACACAACAGAAAAAGAAACCGUGAACAACUUCUUUGGCGUAAUUUUAUGGUGAGAAACCAUACCCAAUCCAAUCGGUACUCAUCAAUCCAAAUCCGAAUCGAAAUUUUAUAAUAACGUAAACACUAAGAAAAGUUUGUGUAUCAAAUAAAGUGAAUCAAGCUUCUUUGGUGUAAUUAAACCUAAUAAUUCAUACC
rnacentral:lncRNA from 1 species